GAGUUUGAUCGUGGCUCAGAUUGAACGCUGGCGGAAUGCUUUACACAUGCAAGUCGAGCGGCAGCGCGGGGCAACCUGGCGGGCGAGCGGCGAACGGGUGAGUAAUAUAUCGGAACGUGUCCUAUCGUGGGGGAUAGCCCGGCGAAAGCCGGAUUAAUACCGCAUACGAUCGAGAGAUGAAAGUGGGGGACCGCAAGGCCUCACGCGAUGGGAGCGGCCGAUAUCUGAUUAGCUAGUUGGUGAGGUAAAGGCUUACCAAGGCGACGAUCAGUAGCUGGUCUGAGAGGAUGAUCAGCCACACUGGGACUGAGACACGGCCCAGACUCCUACGGGAGGCAGCAGUGGGGGAAUUUUGGACAAUGGGGGGCAA
rnacentral:rRNA from 1 species